rnacentral:rRNA from 1 species
UACAGAGGGUGCAAGCGUUAAUCGGAAUUACUGGGCGUAAAGCGUGCGCAGGCGGCUUUGCAAGACAGAUGUGAAAUCCCCGGGCUUAACCUGGGAACUGCAUUUGUGACUGCAUGGCUCGAGUGCGGCAGAGGGGGAGGGAAUUCCGCGUGUAGCAGUGAAAUGCGUAGAUAUGCGGAGGAACACCGAUGGCGAAGGCAAUCCCCUGGGCCUGCACUGACGCUCAUGCACGAAAGCGUGGGGAGCAAACAGG